rnacentral:lncRNA from 1 species
UUUUAAAUGUUAUUUUUUUCUGUUUUAGAUGUUAUUUUGCUGUUAAAUGUUGUUUGUUUUUGUCGUUUACAGAAUAUAUUAACGGUGACGUUUGAAGCAGAGGGCAGCGUCUCUGAGGACAGUUUAAAUGUGUUUAUUCAGAAUCUUUUAUGGGAGAAGAUGUUUAAGAAUAAAGCGGGUUUAGCUAUGAACGUUAUUCGCUUAAAGGUGAGAAUUAUCUUUUUAUUAUUAAAGGAUUGACAACUAAAUUAUAGAAAUGUUUACAAUUUUAGAAUUAAUAUAAAUGACUUUGAUUAGGCAUCUCACUUAAAGCGUAUGUUAAUGUAUGUCAUGUUUUAUGUAUUAUUUAAAAUUAAUAAAAUGUUAUUAUUAUACA